GUGAUGCUACCACACCCCACUGCUUGUUUAAUUCUUUGUAGUGAUGGCGUCUCACUGUGUUGCCCAGAUUGGAGUGCAGUGCUGAGAACAUGAUUCACUGCAGCCUCAACCUCCUAGGCUCAAGCGAUCCUCCUGCCUCAGCAACCCCAGCAGCUGGGACUACAAGCACAGACCUUGGCAGUGUGGAGGGAGAGAGCCUGGUUCUUCCGCCCAGCCCUGGGCAGCCUUCUGGUCUCCCAGGAUAGAAAAAAGACUCACAUUUCUUCGCACCAUUGAGCCUGUCACUGCAGCACCACAGCAUUUGACAUCUGCAAAACAACAUCAUUAGACCCUCCCCAAGAGCCAGCUCCUGCAGAGCCAAGAGCCGUGAGCUGAUCCUCCAGAAACCAGACCCACAGGACAAGAGGCCAGGAGGGAGCAGCCAGCUCUCGGUGAACACAGGCACAGGGCCUUGGCAGACUCAGCGGUCAGGACGUCCAGGUCUCAUCCC